CCUACGGGAAGCUGCAGUGGGGAAUAUUGGACAAUGGGGGCAACCCUGAUCCAGCCAUGCCGCGUGUGUGAAGAAGGCCCUCGGGUUGUAAAGCACUUUCAGUGAGGAAGAACGCCUGGUGGUUAAUACCCAUCAGGAAAGACAUCACUCACAGAAGAAGCACCGGCUAACUCCGUGCCAGCAGCCGCGGUAAUACGGAGGGUGCGAGCGUUAAUCGGAAUUACUGGGCGUAAAGCGCGCGUAGGUGGCUUGAUAAGCCGGUUGUGAAAGCCCCGGGCUCAACCUGGGAACGGCAUCCGGAACUGUCAAGCUAGAGUGCAGGAGAGGAAGGUAGAAUUCCCGGUGUAGCGGUGAAAUGCGUAGAGAUCGGGAGGAAUACCAGUGGCGAAGGCGGCCUUCUGGACUGACACUGACACUGAGGUGCGAAAGCGUGGGUAGCAAACAGGAUUAGAUACCCGAGUAGUC
rnacentral:rRNA from 1 species